UCCGGAGGGUGCAAUCGUUAUUCGGAAUUACUGGGCGUAAAGCGCGUGCAGGCGGGGAAGCAAGUCUGAUGUGAAAGCCCUGGGCUUAACCUGGGAAGUGCAUUGGAAACUGUUUUUCUUGAGUACUGGAGAGGAAGGGAGAAUUCCCGGUGUAGAGGUGAAAUUCGUAGAGAUCGGGAGGAACACCAGUGGCGAAGGCGCCCUUCUGGACGGUUACUGACGCUGAGACGCGAGAGCGUGGGGAGAAAACAGG
rnacentral:rRNA from 1 species